rnacentral:rRNA from 1 species
AUUGAACGCUGGCGGCAUGCCUUACACAUGCAAGUCGAACGGUAACAGCACUUCGGUGGCUGACGAGUGGCGAACGGGUGAGUAAUACAUCGGAACGUGCCCGAGAGUGGGGGAUAACGCAGCGAAAGCUGUGCUAAUACCGCAUACGAUCUACGGAUGAAAGCAGGGGAUUCGCAAGGACCUUGCGCUCAUGGAGCGGCCGAUGGCAGAUUAGGUAGUUGGUGGGAUAAAAGCUUACCAAGCCGACGAUCUGUAGCUGGUCUGAGAGGACGACCAGCCACACUGGGACUGAGACACGGUCCAGACUCCUACGGGAGGCAGCAGUGGGGAAUUUUGGACAAUGGGCGCAAGCCUGAUCCAGCCAUUCCGCGUGCAGGAUGAAGGCCUGGUUGUAACGUAGCUUUG